UACGUAGGGUCCGAGCGUUGUCCGGAAUUACUGGGCGUAAAGAGCUCGUAGGUGGUUUGUCGCGUUGUUCGUGAAAACCUGAGGCUUAACCUUGGGCGUGCGGGCGAUACGGGCAGACUGGAGUACUGCAGGGGAGACUGGAAUUCCUGGUGUAGCGGUGGAAUGCGCAGAUAUCAGGGAGGAACACCGGUGGCGAAGGCGGGUCUCUGGGCAGUAACUGACGCUGAGGAGCGAAAGCGUGGGGAGCGAACAGG
rnacentral:rRNA from 1 species